rnacentral:lncRNA from 1 species
AGAAGACAAAAUCACGCUCUCCUCUGCUUCUCUUUCUUUUCUUUGUCUGAGCCUCUGCUUCUCUUAAACCCAACCAUCCAUUCUCAGUUUUUCACUCAUGCCGGUUCUUGCCAUCGCUUCUUCUCCUUCCUAUUGUUUAAUUCUCCUUCUGCCUUUCAGAUAUAUAUUUGGUUAUGUCAUUCUGAAAGGGAUUUGAGGAAGGGGAGCAUAUCCAGCCUUAUUUCUUCUUCCCUUGAACCGUUGGUGCUUCUUCUCCUUCUAAGAGCAAGUGAUCGCGUCGAGAGCACUAAUCAAGAAAGAUUGAGCUCAACAUUACCACUUCUAUAAGCCAUGGAUUUAGGUUAAUUUGUCUGGCGAUGGCUUAUGGAUGUAGAUUUGUUGUAUUUGUAAAAGGUAUGCUUCCUCGAUGCUUGCAUAGCCGCUCACUAUUUAUAUUAUUCACAUUCAUUUGAGAGCUGUAAAUAUUUACUCCAUUUAUAAUAAUUAAAUUUUUAAUUUUAUAAGAACAAAAAGAAUAUUAAAUAACUUAUUUAAUACUCAUUGCUCAUAAUAUUUUUUAUUUUAAAAUAUUGCUUCUGCAUGCAUAUGUGUUUGGAUGAAUUUGAGAAUUUGAGGUUCCGAAAGCUGUUGGCUACAAACAAAUGAGUUUAUUCAAUUAAUUUAAUUCAAUUUUUUCUUUAAUUGAAUUCAAUUUUCAUUAGUCUUUUAAAUAAUUUUAAUUGCAUUCAAAAUUAAAUAUUUUAACCUCAUUCAUGUAAAUUUAAAAUAUUAAAAAUUAAAUAAAAUUUAUUUAUUUGUCUUAAAUUUAUUAAAAAUUAAAUUUAGACAAUAAUGGCUGAUUGUACGGAGUAGUCCGUGGCUAUAUUCGAAUACGACUCUCUUACACUGAAAGGUUUUAAUUAUUGUGUUGAUUGUCUGAUUUUGGUUCUGAGACUAUACCUUUACAGGUAAGAUGAUGACAAGCCUUCUCCAUCUUUUGACAUUAAGUUGUGUGCUGUCACCACUAACUUCUCUUAGUUGACUAUGACGUUCAUGGCCCCUAGUUUUUGGCAGAUGCUGCACACUCUAGAAGAUUAACAAAACACAUUUUAUUUUGUAUGGAAAUAAUUUAAAUAAAUUUCUUAAAAUUAUAUAUAAUUUUAUUUUUAAAAUGAAUUUGUAAAUUUUUUAUAAAAUUUUAAUUUUAAAUAAAUCGGAAAAGAUUAAAUAUUUCCGUAUGAUAUUUGAUCUCUAAUGCAAAACUGCAUUUGAGUUUGAGGUUUAAUCAAUUUCACUUCGUAGCUAAAUUAAUUUUUCUCUGCAAUGGCAACCAUAGAAUUAUCACUGUUAUUAUUACAUAUCAUUACUAUUAUUUACUUUUUACUUUAAAAGUUAUUAUUUAAUCUAUAUACUAUAUAAAAAAUAUUUUUUAUUUUUAAAAAAUAAAUUAAAACAUAUUUUUAAAAAAAAAAUUAUUAAUUAAUUUCAUGUAAAUUAAAAGUUAAAUAUUUACUAUUUAUUUAUGUGACAUAUAAAUAAAAAUUAGUAAUUAAUGUAUCGAUUCUAAAAAAUAUAUUAAUACAUAAAAUAAUUUUUUAUAUUGAGAAUAUUUUUUUUAAUAUUUAAUUGUUAAAAUAAAUUUAAAAAUUAAUUAAUAAAUUUUUUUAAAUUUUAUAUUUAUUUUUUAAAAUUAAAAUUUCAAUUAAUGAGAUAAUAAUUCUUCCAUAGAAAAUAAUUUAUAUGAGAGUACCAGCGUUACAAAGAAGAGUUACAUAUAUUGUACAAUGAGAGAUAAGCCUAUCACUGUCUGUGAUGAUGAACAGCAUCUAGAUGGGCCAAGAAAUAGGAUGAAAUUUACUACAACUUAACAACCUUUUCUUGACAAAAAAAAAAAAAAACUUUUCAAUGUCUUUAAAUUGAAUAGCUGGCAACAAAAUCAUAUAUUUUAAAGGUAAGCGAAUCGACUUUACCACAUCGUUUUCAAAAUUUAAUUGUCUGAAUUUAAAUAUUCAAUUGGAAUCAAUUAUAUACAUAAAUUAUUUAUAAAAUUUUAUUAAUUAGUUACAUAUAAAUAAUUGAAAGAAAAAAAAAGAAAGUUUGGUCUCCUCUGCAACAUAAUUUUUAUUUAUUUUUUUAUAUAUAUUAAAAAAUAAUAUUGUUUAUUAAUUUUAUAAUUAUAUUUAUCGCAUUAAAUUUUAUUAACUAUUUAAUAUUUUAAGAGUUUUUUAGAAUAAAAUAAAGUUAAAUAAAAUUAUAAUAAUUAAAUUAUAUGUUAUUAUAGUAAAAAAUAAAGAAUAAAUAAUAAUUUUGAGAUAAUUAAAUAAUAAAAUAUAAAUAAAAAAUUAUUAGACGGACAUGGAGGCCACAAUUGAAGGCAUCAUCCUGGGAAGGCAUCACAUCAUCAUCUCUUUCAACUUCAUGUGUCCUUUUUGCAAUUUGGAUAAAAAGAGUUAUUUACUAAUCAAUCCUUUUUUUUUAUUAUUGUUUAUUAAUCCAAUAAUUAAUAUAUUAAUUUUAUUUAUUAAAUAGACCAAACUUUGCAACGGGGCUAUUAAUUAUUAUAGCAUUUGAUAACAUAUAUAAUUAAAUAAAUGGAAAAUAAUUCACUAAUGUGAUUAAUUUAUCAUUAUCAAUAAUACAUUAUGUACUAAAAAAAAUAAUAUUGUUAAGGCUAAAUAGCCAUCAUGCAUCAAUUUGAUUGGGCUCAAAGCUUUAUUUUCUCCUUAAAUAAUUUGAAAAAUAUGGUCCAGUUGGACACAUGCUACCUAAUUUAUAUAAAAAUAAAAACAUGAAUAAUGGAAAGAAUCACUAAUUCAUUUACUAUCUCUGAAUUUUUUAAAAUUUUAUCUUGUAAAAUAUUAGUUAAUAUAAUUAACUUUUUAAUUUAUAACAAUUUAAAUAUGCAUUGAUUUGAAUUUUUAACGAGUCGAAUUUUAAAUAAUUUAAAAAUAAUUUUAUUUAUUUUUUCAUUGAAAAGUACAAGAAAAAAAAAGCUAAUUUUGUUUAAAGGUUGAUUUGAGGUUUAAAAAACUUUUGUGAAUAGGCAUAUGAUUACAUAAUAAACCACAGAUGCAUCAAAUUAGGGAAAAUGACUAGUAAAGAAAAAAACCUAGUUUACUCAUAAAUUUUUAAUGAUGAAAUAGACAAUCUAACGGCUUUAGAACAAAAAGAUAAAACAAUCAAUUCACAACUUUAUUAUUAUUUUUAUAAUUAUUAAUAUGCUUUUCUGCCAACAACUUGUGGUAGCAUAUCUAAACCCAACAUGAUUGUCGGAGCCGGUGACUGCCCCAGAGGAGGGGGAGGGGGCCAUGGAUUUUUUAUAAGUAAUUGAAAUUAUUUGAUAAACUAUUUAGAGAAAUAAAUUAAAAUUUUUAUAAAUAAUAUUUUAUUAAUUAAUGAAUUUUAUUGACUAUUUAAAUUUAAAAUUUAAUUUAAUUUUAAAAAAUAUUAAUUUAAUGAAUAAUAAAUUAAAUUAUUUAAAUUUAAAAUACUUAAAUAUAAAUUAAGUAUUAUUUUUAUAGAUGAUAGAUUAUUAUUUAAAUUAAAAAAAAUAAAUGUAAAUAUUGGUUUUAUAGUUAAUGGUUUGAUAAUUUCAUUUAAAAAAAUAAAUUUUUUUAGUAAAUAUUAUAUUAAAUUAAUAUAUUAUUUUAACAGUAUUAUUUUUUUUAUAAACUUACCGUUACGACUGUAUUAAAAAUAGUUUUUUUUAUCAUAAAUAUUAUUAAAAAUUACUUUUAUAGUAAAAUGAGAGAUGAAUUAUUAUUCUAUUAUUAUUAAUUUAUAUUAAAAAAUAUAUUUAUAAAUAUUAAAAAUAAAAUUGUUAUUAAUAUAUUUUCAUUAAUAAAAAAUAAAUAAAUUGUAAUUUAAUUAUAAUAUUUUUUAUUUUUUUAUAAUUUUUUUAAAUAGUUUUAUUUUACACAUUUUUUUUAUUAAACAUUUAUUAAAAUUGAAUCUCUUUAAAUAAAAUUUCCGAAUCGACCGGAGUAUCUGUUGUGCCUUUCUUUUUUUUCAUCUUAAUAAAUUUCAAAAAGAAAAAAUAACUUACACAAAAUUGAUAUUUUACCUAUUUAAAAAUAGUCUGAUUAGUAUUUUUUUUAAAAAAAUUAAUAUCUAAAAAAUAGAUAAAAUUUCAAAUUUAAAUAUUUCAUCCACUUAUUUCUAAAUAUUCACUUUUAUAUGAACCUCUUUUAAAUUAUAAAAAAAAAAAUGCCAUAUCUUGUAAAAUCUCAAAAAUACCAGAAGAAAAACGAUUUUUUUAAAUUGAAAUUCAAUGAUAAAAUAAUUAAAAACGUAUGAUAUAUUAAAAAAGAUAAUUCCAUUCCAGUAUAUAUCCUAAUUGGAUAAAUCCAUAUUUCACUUUGACUGUAAUUAAUGAAAUUCUCCCCUUUUUUUUAAUUUAUAGUUAAUAACACAAUUUCAAGUUAGUGGUACUUUAAAAUCAAAUUUUGAUUAAUAAAAUAUAACUCUCAUUCAUUUUUACUUAUUCUAUAAAAACGCGUUUAAUGUACCGCUAAUAUCAAUCAGAUACAUAUAUUAAAAGAGCAAAAUACUCUAUUCUAUAUUUUAAACACGCUUUAUGCGUGAUUAAUAUAAAUUCAUAUCGAUCAGACCCAUUAAAAAUACAAGGUGAACUUCAUGCGCAACUUGAAGAGAAUGAAUUCCAUGACAUUUACCUCACUUCUUGAAGUGAUAUUGAAUAUAUUUUUAGUAAUUAAUCAAUUAUCUCAUAAUAUUAAAAAUUUAUGAAAUAGUAAAAAGAAAAACUUUACUUGAGCAGUUAGGUUAUCCGAAGAAGAAGAAGCAGCAGCUCUCAGACCAACUGGGUAGGACCACUGACAUAAUGAAUGAAUGUACAGGCCAUGGCCACACGUUAUAUAAAUUUGGUAGCUGAGCAGCCAUUAAAACUGUUUCUACUCUAAACGCAGGGAACUCUGCAAAUUUCCUUUGGUAGCUAAUAUCAUGAGCCACGUUUCAAAUGUUUUCAACAGCCGACCAAGACCAACUGCUGCCUGCUGCUCUGUUCCAUCACUUAAAUUUCCGAAGAUAGUGAAAUUCAGACGUACAUGACAAGAAGGAAGUAACAGAGAC